rnacentral:rRNA from 1 species
CAGUAGCCGCGGGAAAACGUAGGGUGCGAGCGUUAAUCGGAAUUACUAAGCGUAAAGCGAGCGCAGACGGUUACUUAAGCAGGAUGUGAAAUCCCCGGGCUUAACCUGGGAACUGCGCUUGUGACUGCACAGCUAGAGUAUGGCAGAGGGGGGUGGAAUUCCACGUGUAGCAGUGAAAUGCGUAGAGAUGUGGAGGAACACCGAUGGCGAAGGCAGCCCCCUGGGCCAAUACUGACGCUCAUGCACGAAAGCGUGGGGAGCAAACAGGAUUAGAUACCCCCGUAGUCCCUGUCUCUUAUAC